GAUGAACGCUAGCGGGAGGCCUAACACAUGCAAGCCGAGCGGUAUUGUUUCUUCGGAAAUGAGAGAGCGGCGUACGGGUGCGUAACACGUGUGCAACCUGCCUUUAUCUGGGGGAUAGCCUUUCGAAAGGAAGCUUAAUACUCCAUAAUAUAUUGAACGGCAACGUUUAAUAUGGAAAGCUCCGGCGGAUAGAGAUGGGCACGCGCAAGAUUAGCUAGUUGGUGAGGUAACGGCUCACCAAGGCGAUGAUCUUUAGGGGGCCUGGAGAGGGUGAUCCCCCACACUGGUACUGAGACACGGACCAGACUCCUACGGGAGGCAGCAGUGAAGAAUAUUGGUCAAUGGGUGCAAGCCUGAACCAGCCAUCCCGCGUGAAGGACGACUGCCCUAUGGGUUGUAAACUUCUUUUGUAUAGGGAUAAACCUACCCUCGUGAGGGUAGCUGAAGGUACUAUACGAAUAAGCACCGGCUAACUCCGUGCCAGCCGCCGCCGUAA
rnacentral:rRNA from 1 species